UAAAUAAAUAAUGGGGGACCUAAUGUCCCCACAAGGUCCCCCCAGUUCCCACCCAUGAGCAGCAGGUGGGGACCCUAAAUAAAUAAAUAAUUGGGGGGAUAUUAUGUCCCCCCCAGGUCCCCAGCCAUGACCAGCAUGUGGGGACCUUAAAUAACUGAUUAAUGGGGGAAGCUAAUAUACCCUCCAGGUCCCCACCCACAAGCGGCGUAUGAGGGCCACAAUUAAUAAAGUGAUUAGGGGUCCCCAAGCCCUAGUCACUUCCCCCUCCAAGAAAAAUACUCUACCUAGCCCCCUCACCCUAAUAAUAGUGAGGGGCAGGCAAUAAACUAACACCCUGUAAAAUAAAAUGUCAUACUUACUAUUAGAUGUCUUCUUUUUUUUUUUUUCAGCCCCCAAAAAGGCCAAAUAAAAAUCCAUAAUACUCAUCAAACUUAUAAAAUAAAAUAAAAAAGAGUACAAAACAAAAAUAUGACAAAAAAUAAAAAGAAAACACGCUAAAAAAAAUUAUCCAUCUUCAGAGGGCACCACACAGACUAAACUCGGGGAAAGGCCUUUAGGAGAGAGCAGAGGUGAGGUUACUCUGGGAGGCCAUAAGCUUUCCUAAAGAGAUGGGUUUUGAGGCACUUUUUAAAUGAUUGAAGACUAAGGGAGAGCUUGAUGGUCGUAGGCAGACUAUUCCAAAGGCAAGGAGCCACCCGCGAGAAGUCCUGCAAGCGUGAGUUGGCUGUACGGGUGCGAGCAGCAGACAGGAGAAGGUCAUGGGCAGAGCGGAGAGACCGUGAAGGAGCAUACCUGCAGAUCACUG